CUACACCUCAGGAGGCAGAGAUUGUACCUGUAUGGGUGAUACUAAGUUUGAUCAAGUUUGGAUAAGAUGGUGACCACCAGAAUGCUUUACUGUAAUGUUAAAUCUUUGCCUUUGUUAUCUGUAGGGUGAUACUUUGAGACCAUGUAAAUAGCCGGUUCCUCCACAACCUUUCUUUCAACUGAGUCAACAAUUGUAUUAGGAGUGACAAAAUGAUGAUUUUCUAAUUCUAUUAUGCAUUCCUUAUUAGCUGCAUUCUUCUGUAAGUAGCCCCUGCUCGUAUUUUAGAUGAUCACUAUGGAGUCAUGGAACACUAAUAUUUUUUAAAUAAAUUCAAUUAAAUUAACCUA
rnacentral:lncRNA from 10 species